rnacentral:tRNA from 1 species
AGUCCUGUAGUAUAUUUGUACACGAGAUUGCAAAUCUCGAGAAGGAGAAUAAGGCUUCUCCCGGGGCUU